CUAACGAACGACCGUCCCGGUGCAUUGGAUGCAAGCUCACACGAGGAUAAAGGAACUGGAGGUGCUUGUGUUGACAUGACAUCAAUUAAGGUAAUUCGUCUCACCAAGUCCUCCCCUCGGAAAUGUCUGACUUGGUGUCAGUGACUGUCACACCAGGGAAGGGAAGGCUAGUGACCACAAGCUAACCUUGCUCCCAGAUGGAUCACAACAAAGCCACAGAAGAAACCUUGACCUGCCAGAGAUCCACGUAGUGAUCCACGUACUCCAGCCCCUGCCUCAUAGCUGUGGUUUGCCAUGCUUCCUUGAGGAUCCUCCCUGCCAACCACUGCCGGGUCUUAUUCCCCCUGGCAGCAAGGACUUCAUGACUUGCUUUGAGCCUGCUCUCUUCACAGGUGGCUCAGAGUGUACAUACAUACACACAUAUAUAUAUAUAGAUAAUUGGGUUAUAGUUUGUUCAUUGUGUUAAUUUUGUGUGUACUUUUCUAUGUUUUGUAUUUCUAUAAUGUCCACACGUUUUUCAAUAAAACAUGUGUCUUGUUGGUA